rnacentral:rRNA from 1 species
GAUGAACGCUGGCGGCGUGCCUAAUACAUGCAAGUCGAGCGAACAGAUAAGGAGCUUGCUCCUUUGACGUUAGCGGCGGACGGGUGAGUAACACGUGGGUAACCUACCUAUAAGACUGGGAUAACUUCGGGAAACCGGAGCUAAUACCGGAUAAUAUUUCGAACCGCAUGGUUCGAUAGUGAAAGAUGGUUUUGCUAUCACUUAUAGAUGGACCCGCGCCGUAUUAGCUAGUUGGUAAGGUAACGGCUUACCAAGGCGACGAUACGUAGCCGACCUGAGAGGGUGAUCGGCCACACUGGAACUGAGACACGGUCCAGACUCCUACGGGAGGCAUCAGUAGGGAAUCUUCCGCAAUGGGCGAAAGCCUGACGGAGCAACGCCGCGUGAGUGAUGAAGGUCUUCGGAUCGUAAAACUCUGUUAUUAGGGAAGAACAUACGUGUAAGUAACUGUGCACGUCUUGACGGUACCUAAUCAGAAAGCCACGGCUAACUACGUG